rnacentral:tRNA from 1 species
CUGGAUCACCUCCUUAAUCGACGACAGCAGCGGCUCCAUGAGCUCCCACACGAAUUGCUUGAUUCAUUGAAGAAGACGAUUGGGUCUGUAGCUCAGUUGGUUAGAGCGCACCCCUGAUAAGGGUGAGGUCGGCAGUUCGAAUCUGCCCAGACCCACCAAUUACUGGUGCACCCUGUAGCGAUACGGGGCCAUAGCUCAGCUGGGAGAGCGCCUGCCUUGCACGCAGGAGGUCAGCGGUUCGAUCCCGCUUGGCUCCACCAUUUACCGAUUGGUGACCCUCGUUUAAAGCUUAGAAAUGAGCAUUCCAUCAAGACGAUGUUGAAUGUUGAUUUCUAGUCUUUCGAUUAGAUCGUUCUUUAAAAAUUUGGGUAUGUGAUAGAAAGAUAGACUGAAGGCCACUUUCACUGGUGGUGUUCAGGCUAAGGUAAAAUUUGUGAGUUGCUCAAUGAGCAAGAUCGAAUUUUCGGCGAAUGUCGUCUUCACAGUAUAACCAGAUUGCUUGGGGUUAUAUGGUCAAGUGAAGAAGCGCAUAC